rnacentral:rRNA from 1 species
UACAGAGGUCUCAAGCGUUGUUCGGAUUCAUUGGGCGUAAAGGGUGCGUAGGUGGCGCGGUAAGUCGGGUGUGAAAUCUCGGAGCUUAACUCCGAAACUGCAUUCGAUACUACCGUGCUUGAGGACUGGAGAGGAGACUGGAAUUUACGGUGUAGCGGUGAAAUGCGUAGAUAUCGUAAGGAAGACCAGUGGCGAAGGCGGGUCUCUGGACAGUUCCUGACGCUGAGGCACGAAGGCCAGGGGAGCAAACGGG